CGCGUGAGGGAUGACGGCCUUCGGGUUGUAAACCUCUUUUAGCAGGGAAGAAGCGAGAGUGACGGUACCUGCAGAAAAAGCGCCGGCUAACUACGUGCCAGCAGCCGCGGUAAUACGUAGGGCGCAAGCGUUAUCCGGAAUUAUUGGGCGUAAAGAGCUCGUAGGCGGUUUGUCGCGUCUGCUGUGAAAUCCCGAGGCUCAACCUCGGGCCUGCAGUGGGUACGGGCAGACUAGAGUGCGGUAGGGGAGAUUGGAAUUCCUGGUGUAGCGGUGGAAUGCGCAGAUAUCAGGAGGAACACCGAUGGCGAAGGCAGAUCUCUGGGCCGUAACUGACGCUGAGGAGCGAAAGGGUGGGGAGCAAACAGGCUUAGAUACCCUGGUAGUCCACCCCGUAAACGUUGGGAACUAGUUGUGGGGUCCAUUCCACGGAUUCCGUGACGCAGCUAACGCAUUAAGUUCCCCGCCUGGGGAGUACGGCCGCAAGGCUAAAACUCAAAGGAAUUGACGG
rnacentral:rRNA from 1 species